AGCCAUGCCGCGUGAGUGAAGAAGGCCUUAGGGUUGUAAAGCUCUUUCAGUGGUGACGAUGAUGACGGUAGCCACAGAAGAAGCCCCGGCUAACUCCGUGCCAGCAGCCGCGGUAAUACGGAGGGGGCAAGCGUUGUUCGGAAUUACUGGGCGUAAAGGGCGCGUAGGCGGCCUGUGCAAGUUAGAGGUGAAAGCCCCGGGCUCAACCUGGGAAUUGCCUUUAAAACUGCUGGGCUUGAGUCCGGAAGAGGAUGGCGGAAUUCCCAGUGUAGAGGUGAAAUUCGUAGAUAUUGGGAAGAACACCAGUGGCGAAGGCGGCCAUCUGGUCCGGAACUGACGCUGAGGCGCGAAAGCGUGGGGAGCNAACAGGAUUAGAUACCCUGGUAGUNCACGCCGUAAAGNGAUGU
rnacentral:rRNA from 1 species